CUUAAGCAUAUCAAUAAGCGGAGGAAAAGAAACUAACAAGGAUUCCCCUAGUAACUGCGAGUGAAGCGGGAAAAGCUCAAAUUUGAAAUCUGGCGGUUCUGCCGUCCGAGUUGUAUUCUGGAGAAGCGUCUUCUGUGCUGGACCGUGUACAAGUCCCUUGGAACAGGGCGUCAUAGAGGGUGAGAAUCCCGUCUUUGACACGGACCCCCAGCGCUAUGCGAUGCGCUCUCGAAGAGUCGAGUUGUUUGGGAAUGCAGCUCAAAAUGGGUGGUAAAUUCCAUCUAAAGCUAAAUAUUGGCGAGAGACCGAUAGCGAACAAGUACCGUGAGGGAAAGAUGAAAAGCACUUUGGAAAGAGAGUAAAACAGUACGUGAAAUUGUUGAAAGGGAAACGCUUGGAGUCAGUCGCGUCUGCCGGAACUCAGCCUGGCUUCUGCCCGGCGCACUUUCCGGCCUGACGGGCCAGCAUCGGUUUCGGAUGGUGGACACUGGCGGUGGGGAAGGUGGCAGCUCCGGCUGCGUUAUAGCCCCUCGUCGCGAACGCCGUCUGGGACCGAGGAAUCCGGCGCGAGCCUGGGAUGCUGGCGUAAUGGCUUUAAACGACCCGUCUUGAAACACGGACCAAGGAGUGCUACGUGCUCGCGAGUGUUCGGGUGGAAAACCCGUACGCGCAAUGAAAGUGAAAGUCGAUACCCCUCGCGGGGGCACCGACGCCCGAGCCCGAUGUUUUCGGACGGCCUUGCGGUAGAGCGAGUGUGUUGCGACCCGAAAGAUGGUGAACUAUUCCUGAGGAGGGCGAAGCCAGAGGAAACUCUGGUGGAGGCUCGUAGCGGUUCUGACGUGCAAAUCGAUCGCAGGACUUGGGUAUAGGGGCGAAAGACUAAUCGAACCAUCUAGUAGCUGGUUCCUGCCGAAGUU
rnacentral:rRNA from 1 species